AAAGAAAUUUACAAAGGCUUCUCUUUUUUUUCUUUUUGUGUGGUUUUUUUUUGUUGUUUUCUGCUUUUCUUUGUUUGUUGUUCUUGGUUUUGUUGUUUUUUUUUUUUUGUGGGUUUUGUUUGUUUGUGGUUUUGUUGUUUAUUCUUUUAGCAACCGUGGCGGGUGGUGUGGGUGGAUCCUGGGGUGGAUCCUGGGGUGGAUUCUGGGGUGGAUCCCAGCGAUGGAUUCCUGGGAUGGAUUCUGGGGUGGAUCCCUGGAAUGGAUCCUGGGGUGGAUUUUGGGAUGGAUUCCUGGGAUGGAUUCCUGGGGUGGAUUCCUGGGGUGGAUUCCUGGAAUGGAUCCCUGGGAUGGAUCCCAGCGAUGGAUCCUGGGGUGGAUUCUGGGAUG
rnacentral:lncRNA from 1 species